rnacentral:tRNA from 2 species
GGGCGAUUAGCUCAGCUGGGAGAGCACCUCGUUUACACCGAGGGGGUCGGCAGUUCGAUCCUGUCAUCGCCCACCA